GACAGAGGGUGCGAACGUUGCUCGGAAUCACUGGGCGUAAAGCGCGUGUAGGCGGACAGUCAAGUCAGGUGUGAAAUCCCCGGGCUCAACCCGGGAACUGCAUCUGAAACUGGCUGUCUUGAGUGUCGGAGAGGGAAGCGGAAUUCCUGGUGUAGAGGUGAAAUUCGUAGAUAUCAGGAGGAACACCGGUGGCGAAGGCGGCUUCCUGGACGACUACUGACGCUGAGACGCGAAAGCGUGGGGAGCAAACAGG
rnacentral:misc_RNA from 1 species